rnacentral:rRNA from 1 species
GGGGGGCAAGCGUUGUUCGGAAUCACUGGGCGUAAAGCGCGUGUAGGCGGCAGGGCAAGUCGGAUGUGAAAUCCCAUGGCUCAACCAUGGAAGUGCACCCGAAACUGCCCAGCUCGAGUCUCGGAGAGGAAGGUGGAAUGCUUGGUGUAGAGGUGAAAUUCGUAGAUAUCAAGCGGAACACCGGUGGCGAAGGCGGCCUUCUGGACGAUGACUGACGCUGAGACGCGAAAGCGUGGGGAGCAAACAGG